rnacentral:misc_RNA from 1 species
UCUGUCUACUUUCAGUGAGGCCAUCUCCAGAAUAAUAAUUUGGUUUAAAUAUGGCUUCCUUAAAUAUGCAAACAGCUCCAGCUAUCACAUCUUCAUCAGCAUAGUGCAGCUGAGAUAAAAGAAUACGUGAUAUCUGCAUUCCAUAUUCUGACAUUGUGCUUUCAAAUUUCUUUCUGUCCAAACGUCCCAAAAGAAGGCAUAGACAGUUGAGGAAAAAUUUUCUAGUCUCCAUACCAGCAUCCUUG